UAUGCAAAGUUUUAAUAUGUUUGUUUAAUAAUAUAAACACGUUUCCAUGUGUUUGAAGGUCGCAAAAGCUAAACAUAAGUGGCAACCACACUUUGUAUUACGUUUCGUCUCAUAUAUCAUGAAGAACAACCAAGUAUUUCAAGCUGGGAUCAUGCUGAGGAACCUCAACCAAGGAAAGCUGAGGCGAGGGCGAGUAGGUCCCUGAGGAGGACCACUGCAAAGAAAGGAGGUCAAGGAGAUUCUGGGAGCAACCUGCGAGCAACCUCUAGAUCAGCCAGCAGGCACCUCUGACAAUGCCGCUGCCGGUGUCGACGCUGGCAGCCAUGGCCGGCGCCGAGCUGACGAGCUCCAACCUGGAAGCUCAGCGCGAGGGGCUGGCAUUUGUUGCCGGCUUCGUGGCAUACAAGUGUCACCACAUCGACGCCACCCUCGGUAGUCGGUCUCCUGACUUCUCGGGCGCCGCCGGAGACACUGAACACCGGACAUGUGCAUGGAUCCGGGAAAAUGGAUCUGGGAUCUGA
rnacentral:lncRNA from 1 species